GCGGCGGACGGGUGAGUAACGUGGGUAACCUGCCUGUAAGACUGGGAUAACUCCGGGAAACCGGAGCUAAUACCGGAUAGUUCCUUGAACCGCAUGGUUCAAGGAUGAAAGACGGUUUCGGCUGUCACUUACAGAUGGACCCGCGGCGCAUUAGCUAGUUGGUGAGGUAACGGCUCACCAAGGCGACGAUGCGUAGCCGACCUGAGAGGGUGAUCGGCCACACUGGGACUGAGACACGGCCCAGACUCCUACGGGAGGCAGCAGUAGGGAAUCUUCCGCAAUGGACGAAAGUCUGACGGAGCAACGCCGCGUGAGUGAUGAAGGUUUUCGGAUCGUAAAGCUCUGUUGUUAGGGAAGAACAAGUGCAAGAGUAACUGCUUGCACCUUGACGGUACCUAACCAGAAAGCCACGGCUAACUACGUGCCAGCAGCCGCGGUAAUACGUAGGUGGCAAGCGUUGUCCGGAAUUAUUGGGCGUAAAGGGCUCGCAGGCGGUUUCUUAAGUCUGAUGUGAAAGCCCCCGGCUCAACCGGGGAGGGUCAUGGGA
rnacentral:rRNA from 1 species